ensembl:lncRNA
GGGGGGGCUGAAGGACCUGUCACACCACCUUCACAUUCCUGUGCUGUGCUGAUUCAUUUUGAACACUCCACAUCACAGCAGUCACACACAAGCCAUCAGCCAUCAGAAUAGGUUGUAGAAAGUUCGUAGAAAAACGACCACAACACACACACUCAAACACAGCAAGGUCAGGAAGCAACAAGUCAUUCAGCGUUCUGCUGGCUGCCUCUGAGGUAACGAGAAGCAAGCUCUCCUGCGUCGCCAUCGAAGGGAUGGCUCGGCCAGCCGAGUGCCGCUGUGUCCACUACCUCUUCCUUGCCUGGCUCCUCUUCCUCACCGCCGGCCAGGUGGUCUUCCUCACCCUCCACUACACCGCAGGAGUACACAACAGGUCUCAGGGUGUGGUCACACCACAGUCCACAAGAGAAAUCAAACACAACCUUAAACCACAGGUCAAGGAGAAGAUAGCAGAGAUUUUUUCAGGCAAAAUGAUCAAUCUCGAAGCCUCAAAAGUGGACGGCGAGGGACGCAUCCAGUGGAGAACCAGGAGGCCGGAGCCGUCCCUGCUCACGCUGGCCGGGGAGGUCGUGACCCUGGGGCAGGACGCCUACUACUUCCUGUGUCUGACGGUGACCCUGAAUAACGUGGGAGGGGCUGCCGGGGUGAUGGUCACCCUGAAGCGCAACAACCACGUCAUCAUGGAGGGCCGUGUCGACGCGGCCACGUUCAGCACGGGGCCCCUGGUCAGGGUGGAGGACAUGUCAGCCGGGGACAAACUGGUGGUCACCGUCACGGCCCUCGGCAGAGUCGAUGGGACUUCCCCGGGGAAGACCAACCUGGGGAUCAUCUGCCUGCCAAAACCGCAGCCUUCCCUCCCAGCCCCACCACAACCACCGCCGCCUGGGAAGGAACAAAGAGGAUAGAUGACCACGGUUCCUUGACGCCGUUUUGAGCGCCAGCUAAAGGGAAGAGUAUGGUUCCACGUCGACGCAACGCAAGGGGGUUUACGGACCCACGUCGUUGCGGACCCUCCUUGAGUCCGCCUCAAGGGCCGACGCGCGCCUCCCAAAAAUUGAAGCAAGGGCUGUGAUUGGUCCGCCAACUAAAACCCCGACUAUUUGCAUUAUUUACUUUAUUGACAGUUUUUCGGAAAGCUAUUGUUAUUUUAUUUAUUGAUUGAUAAUGUAUCCUGUCUAUAAGUCAGGUUUCAGGUUGACGUGCGGAUCAGUUGAUGACUUCACAUGUGAAUGUAUGGCAGUGAGCUAACAGCAUAGAAGUUGUGUAAAUGACUCAAAAUAUAUUAUUGAGCUGUAUCUGUAUGUGCUGCCUUUGAAAGUCACGUCCGUUGGUCAUUUGGUUCAAAUGUAAUAAACAAAAAAAUCUUAAUUUGAGUGAGUCAUCCUCGAUAUUUGGCUUGCUGAAAAUGUGUUAUAAUAUUUAAUAAUAUUAAGCUAUUCAGUACCGGGAAUUCCAACCCAAACCCCUAUUGGGGAACUGAAUAGUAUAUCGUGAGUCACAAUACUAGUCUCUUUCAAAAAAC